UUUAGUUUAAUUAAAAUAAUAUUUAAUUUAAUUUAAGUUUGAGUAAUUAAUUUAAUUAGAAAUAAUAUUUAAAUUUAUAGUUGAUUAGUAAAUUGAUUGAAUUUUUAAAAAAGUUAAAAAUUAUAAAUUUUUUAAAGUAAAUUUAAUUUAUUGUAUCUUGUGUAUCAGAGUUUAAUAAAUAAAUUAAAUUAAUUUUUAAAUCUCGAAAAAAAUUAAGAGAUAAAAAUUAAUAUUUUAUUAAUGUGAAAUAAUUAUAAAUAAUUGAUUUUUAGUAAUGAAAAGUUAUUCGUUUUUUUUUAUAUCUAGUUUUUAAAGAAAUAAAUUUAAUUUACAAUUUAAUUUAUUUUAUUAAUUUAUUUUAUAUAUUAAUAAGAUUUAUAAAUAUAUGUAUAUAGAUUAAAUUGUUAUAUAUGUAGGGUUAAGCUUAUAUAUAAAAAUUUAUAUUUAAUUAAUAAAAAUUAAUAAAAUUAUAAAAUUGAAAUUUUUAAUUAUUUAAGUUAUUAAUUUAUUAUUUAUUAAUUUAAAUUAUUAUUUAAUUUAUAUUAAAUUAAUUAUUUAUUUAAAAAUUUUUAUUAAUUUUUAAUAAAAAUUAAUAAUGUUAAAAUUAGUAUAAUUAAUGUUAUAAUUUUUAGAUUUAAUUAAAUUAAAAUUAAUAAAUUAGGCAAAACUUAAUUAUUUAUAAAAUUAAUUUAUUUCACAUGUUUAACAAAAACAUGUCUUUUAGUUUUAAAUUUAAAGUCAAAUCUGCCCACUGAAUUUAAAUUUAAAGGGCUGCGGAAUUUUAACUGUACGAAGGUAGCAUAAUAAUUUGUUUUUUAAUUGAAAACUAGAAUGAAUGAUUUCAUGAGAAUAAAACUGUAUAAAUUUUAUUAAUUGAAUUUAUUUUUUAUAUUAAAAAAUAUAAAUAAAUUUAAAAGACGAGAAGACCCUUUAGAUUUUGAACUAAUUAAAUUUAAAAUUUAAAUUUAUUUAUAAUUAUUAAAAUUUAAUUAAUUUUAAUUGGGGUGAUUUAUAAAUUUAUGAAACUUUAAUUUAUAAAUAUGUUUAAUUUUAAUUAGAGAUUUAUGGUAAUGAUUUAUUAAUAUGGAUUAGAUGAUUAAAUUACCUAAGGGAUAACAGCGUUAUUUAGAUUUUUAGUUCUAAUAGAAAUUUAAGAUUGCGACCUCGAUGUUGGAUUAAAAUUUAUAUUAAAUGCAAGAGUUUAAUUAUUUAGUCUGUUCGACUAUUAAAAUUUUACAUGAUCUGAGUUCAAACCGGUGUGAGCCAGGUUGGUUUCUAUCUUUAAUAAUAAUAUUAAUAUUUUAGUACGAAAGGAUUGAAUAUUAAAAAUAAUAAAUUUUAAUUUAAAUGAUUA
rnacentral:rRNA from 1 species